UGGGGAAUUUUGCGCAAAGGGCUAACGCCUGACGCAGCAACGCCGCGUGGAGGAUGAAGGUCUUUGGAUUGUAAACUCCUGUCAGCGGGGAAAAAGCGACCGGUGCUCAUACCACCGGGAGCUGAUUGUACCCGCAGAGGAAGCCCCGGCUAACUCUGUGCCAGCAGCCGCGGUAAUACAGAGGGGGCAAGCGUUAUUCGGAAUUAUUGGGCGUAAAGGGCGCGUAGGCGGCUUCGCAAGUGGAAGGUGAAAUCCCUCGGCUUAACCGAGGAACUGCCCUCCAAACUGCGUUGCUUGAGGCCGGGAGAGGUGAGUGGAAUUCCCAGUGUAGCGGUGAAAUGCGUAGAUAUUGGGAGGAACACCAGUGGCGAAGGCGGCUCACUGGACCGGUUCUGACGCUGAGGCGCGAAAGCGUGGGGAGCAAGCGGGAUUAGAUACCCCGGUAGUCCACGCCGUAAACGAUGAGUGCUUGGUGUAGCGGGUAUCGACCCCUGCUGUGCCGAAGUCAACACAUUAAGCACUCCGCCUGGGGAGUACGGUCGCAAGGCUGA
rnacentral:rRNA from 1 species